UGGUAAAAGAUGGGUAUGCGUUUUAUUAGGUAGAUGGUAAGGUGAACGGCUUACCAUGGCAACGAUAAGUAGGGGCCCUGAGAGGGGGAUCCCCCACACUGGUACUGAGACACGGACCAGACUCUACGGGAGGCAGCAGUGAGGAAUAUUGGGCAAUGGAGGCAACUCUGACCCAGCCAUGCCGCGUGCAGGAAGACUGCCCUAUGGGUUGUAAACUGCUUUUAUACAGGAAGAAACACACCUACGUGUAGGUGCUUGACGGUACUGUAAG
rnacentral:rRNA from 1 species